AUUUAAGGAAACUGUCUGUUAUUUCUAGAAAGUCGAGUGACUCAGUAGAGGCUUCCACGUUGUGUUUUUUUUUAAGGCAUAGUUAUGAAGAUGGGACAGAAUACAUGAUCUUCGCUGGGACCCAGAGACGGGUGAAAGUUAAUACGAUUUUUUGAAACCGUUGAAUGAAUCGUAAACAGAAAAUAGAAAUAAUAUUUGUGAAGCGUUACAUUGAGCCGAGGAAGAUGACCGGAUUGUAAUGCUACGGAUGAAAUAUAGAAAAUAAAAAUGAACUGUAUGUAUGUAUGGAUGGAGAGAGAGAGUAUAUUAUACUUGGGAUUCUAUCAAAGAACGACGAAGACGCAAUAAUUGCUUGAAAAGGCCGUUGAGUGAAAGCUACUUAACAAAUUAUAUAAUUUGUUAUUGUGUCGUUGAAUAAAAGAAUAAUUGCUCUGCUGGAAAUAAGACCCAAUUUCGAUUAAGAGUAAAACAUUGAUUAACCAUU
rnacentral:lncRNA from 1 species